UACGAAGGGUGCAAGCGUUACUCGGAAUUACUGGGCGUAAAGCGUGCGUAGGUGGUUUGUUAAGUCUGUUGUGAAAGCCCCCGGGCUCAACCUGGGAAUGGCAAUGGAUACUGGCAAGCUAGAGUGCGGUAGAGGGUAGUGGAAUUCCCGGUGUAGCGGUGAAAUGCGUAGAGAUCGGGAGGAACACCAGUGGCGAAGGCAAUCCCCUGGGCCUGCACUGACGCUCAUGCACGAAAGCGUGGGGAGCAAACAGG
rnacentral:rRNA from 1 species